CAGAGCUGAAUCGAUGAAAUCCUGAAAGCAGCAGUACAGUUAAGGCAGGAGCCCAUGUUUUGCUGUGUCUUCACACAGCUGGGCCAGUUCUGCAGAUGAUCAGAGGGAGUUCGCCAUCAUCACAUCCCUCAUUGCUGCAGUCAGACUGAAACAGGACGGUGAUGCAUGGCAGUCCAUGCCCGAGAUAGGGAUGAUGAAGAGACCACAGCAACAUCUGGUCCAGAUGAGGACACAAGGACAGGUGGACUGAUGCAGAGUCUCGUUCAAUUCACUACAGGAGAACAGGAGUGGCCAAACUCAGUCCAGAACUGCUGCUGUCUUGCAGAGUUUAGUUUAGGUUGACUCUAAACUUCACCAGCUGUCCAGAAUUGAGUUUGGGCACCCCUGCAUUACAGCAUUUCCAGGAUGCUGCUGUGGACUUCUUUACCCUCACCACACACACUAAUCUACAGAUAUUUCAGAUCAUAAAAAACAUUUAAAAAACAAAGUCAUCUUACUGCACAAUGUGUCAUUUGAUUUCUGUAGUGCUAGUAAUAAAAUUAUCCUACCUUUUAUUUUGGAUUCUGUUUUCCUCAAAUGUGUCAGUUCCCUUGUCUACAGGUCCAGCUCCAUCAGCAAUCAGAAAGCUGAUGUAAUCACUGUUUGAAAAUACAUUAACUAACAAUAAAUAGCAAAUGUAAAAUAUGUUUUUUUUUUAAUUUCUCUACUGUACUCAAUAAAAGCCUCCCUGUAACAUCGAUUUUAGAAUAAAUCACCUCUGUGAUCAGG